rnacentral:rRNA from 1 species
UACGUAGGGUGCAAGCGUUAAUCGGAAUUACUGGGCGUAAAGCGUGCGCAGGCGGCCCUUUAAGUCUACCCGUGAAAUGCCGGAGCUCAACUCCGUGCACGCCGGGGGAUACUGGGGGGCUGGAGACAUGUAGAGGCAAGCGGAAUUCCGGGUGUAGCGGUGGAAUGCGUAGAGAUCCGGAAGAACACCUGAGGCGAAGGCGGCUUGCUGGGCAUGAUCUGACGCUGAGGCGCGAAAGCGUGGGGAGCAAACAGG